GGUGACAUGGCUCAGUGGCUAAGAGCAAUGACUGCUCUUCCAAAGGUUCUGAGUUCAAAUCCCAGUAACCUCA
rnacentral:tRNA from 1 species